rnacentral:ncRNA from 2 species
AGUAGCUGGUUCCCUCCGAAG